rnacentral:rRNA from 14 species
CGAUGAAGGACGUGGCACUCUGCGAUAAGCUUCGGGGAUGGGAGAGCACCCUUUGAUCCGAAGAUCUCCGAAUGGGGCAACCCACCACUUUAGUGGUAUCCCUAACUGAAUACAUAGGUUAGGGAGGCAAACCCGGCGAAGUGAAACAUCUCAGUAGCCGGAGGAAAGGACAUCAACCGAGACUCCGUUAGUAGUGACGAGCGAACGCGGACCAGGCCAGUGGCAUCAUUGAAGCAACCGGAAUCGUCUGGAAAGGCGAGCGAGAGUGGGUGACAGCCCCGUACGGAUCAAGCUUCUUUGGUGUCCUCGAGUAGGGCGGGGCACGUGAAACCCUGUCUGAAUUUAGGGGGACCACCCUCUAAGCCUAAGUACUCCUCGACGACCGAUAGUGAACAAGUACCGUGAGGGAAAGGUGAAAAGCACCCCGAUUAGGGGAGUGAAA